rnacentral:lncRNA from 1 species
GAAAGUUUGUUCCAAUUGGAUAGGGGUGUUUUGUCACAUCUAUUGGAUUUGUAGAAGCAUCAACUGAGCUGGAAUAGAUGAUUGAUAGGCAUUGGCAUGAGUGUGGCUUCUCUGAGGAAGAAUCUCCUACAGACUUGGCAUCCUAGUAUUAUCCCUCUGGGACAAGGAACAGCUAUUAGCAGUAUCUGCACUGACGAACCAAGGAGGGAUCUUAUGAAGAUUCAUCAUGCUUUAAGUGGAAUUUUCUGAGUAUUUCAGAUAAGACAUUCCAGUGACCAGAAACUAUCACAAUUUUGGUCCAUGGUUGGAACAGUUUUUCUAUAUCUCUCAACACAAAAGUCAUCUCUCCCAAGAAAGUUUCUCUAGUUCAUGCAGGAUCAUAUUCAUUCCAUAAAAGAGAAUGCUUUCAAAACUCAAGCAUCUGCUUCUUCGUCAUAGACAAGUAAUAAACAUCUAUAACAUAUACA